rnacentral:sRNA from 1 species
CUUAGCAUUGCAGGUGCUCUAGGGUGGC